rnacentral:ncRNA from 2 species
UACCCGCAAGGAAAUGGUGUCUUCCUACUUAACCGUUCCAACCAGGAACUGAUGGCGCCUACAAAUAC